rnacentral:rRNA from 1 species
CCUACGGGAGGCUUCAGUGAGGAAUAUUGGUCAAUGGACGAGAGUCUGAACCAGCCAAGUAGCGUGAAGGAUGACUGCCCCAUGGGUUGUAAACUUCUUUUAUAUGGGAAUAAAACGUUCCACGUGUGGGAUUUUGUAUGUACCAUAUGAAUAAGGAUCGGCUAACUCCGUGCCAGCAGCCGCGGUAAUACGGAGGAUCCGAGCGUUAUCCGGAUUUAUUGGGUUUAAAGGGAGCGUAGGUGGAUUGUUAAGUCAGUUGUGAAAGUUUGCGGCUCAACCGUAAAAUUGCAGUUGAAACUGGCAGUCUUGAGUACAGUAGAGGUGGGCGGAAUUCGUGGUGUAGCGGUGAAAUGCUUAGAUAUCACGAAGAACUCCGAUUGCGAAGGCAGUUCACUGGACUGCAACUGACACUGAGGCUCGAAAGUGUGGGUAUCAAACAGGAUUAGAUACCCGAGUAGUC